GGGUCGCGGGCGUGCUGGAGCCUAGCCCAGCUAUCUUCGGGUGAGAGACAGGAUACACCCUGAACUGGUCGCCAGCCAAUCGCAGGUACCUCAGUCGUCCCAAGGAGGAGAGACUAUCCGAGAAUGUGGUCAUGAAGCUGAUGGAACCGUUCAUGGACAAGGGCAGAACUGUUACCACCGACAACUACUUCACGUCAUUAUCACUUGUUCGACGACUGCUCAACUGGGAAACUUCUUGGCACCAUAAACAACAUUCGCCAGGAGCUUCCACUAUCAGCCAAACAAUCUUUGGACCGCAAUGAAUUCACUACCCAGAUGUUUUCAACAACUGGCGCUACACUCACAGCUUAUGCUCCCACGCGAAACAAGGCCAUCUUCAUCCUUAGCACCACGCACUGCAUACUGUCGUUGGGUUUGGGAACAAGCGAAAGAGGAACCCCAACACAAUCACUGACUACAACACCAUGAAGUGUGGCGUGGACAUCAUGGAUCAGAAGGAUGUACCCCGCCUCCUGCCAGAUGAUAGCUGGGAUAGGCUCCAGCACGCCGGCGACCCUAGUGAGGAGAAGCGGCUCAGAAAAUGGAUGGAUUUAUCUUGGGCGGCACAGUGAGCAACUGGUUAGCUCAUCUGCCUCACAGUUCUGAGAACCUGGGUUCAAAUCCCGGCCUCGCCUGUGUGGAGUUGGUAUGUUCUCCCUGUGCCUGUGUGGGCUUUCUCCGGGUACUCCAGUUUCCUACCACAUCUCAAAAACAUGCAGAGUAGGUUGAUUGAAGACUCUAAAUUGCCCGUAGGUGUGAAUGCGAUUGCGAGUGGUUGUUUGUUUAUAUGUGCCCUGCGAUUGGCUAGCGAUCAGUUCAGGGUGUACACCGCCUUUCGCCCGAAGAUAGCUGGGAUAGGCUCCAGCAUGCCUGCGCCCGUAGUGAGGAUAAGUGGUACAGAAAAAUGGAUGAA